rnacentral:lncRNA from 1 species
AAACAUCAAUUCUAAACCCUAAAUCAUCAACUUUAAACCCUAAACCAUCAAACAUCAACUCUAAUUCCUAAACCUUAAAACAUCAAGUCUAAACCCUAAACCCUAAAACUAAACUUGAAACAUCAAUUUUAUCCCCUAAACCUUAAAUCUAAACUUAAAACAUCAACUCUAAACUCUAAACCUUCAACUCUAAACCUUAAAACAUCAACGCUAAACCCUAAACCCUGAAACAUCAACUCUAAACCCUAAACCCUAAACUUUCAAAUCUAAAUCCUAAAACAUCAACUCUAAACCCUAAACCCUAAACUUUCAAAUCUUAACCCUAAAACAUCAACUCUAAACCCUAAACGUAUACCUUAAACCCUAUAUUUUUCUGAAAUUCGAACACUAAACCCUAACACUGUAAACCUUCAAAUCUAUACCCUAAAACAUCAACUCUAAACCCUAAACGUAAAACCCUAAACCCUAAAACCCUAAACCUUCAAAUCUAAACCCCAAAACAUAAACUCUAGGGUUUUAGGGUUUAGGGUUUAGGAAUUAGAAUUUAGGGUUUAGGGUUUAGAGUUAAAGGUUUAGGGUUUAUGGUUUAGAGUUGAUGUUUUAGGGUUUAGGGUUAAUUUCUUAGGGUUUAGGAUUUAGAGUUUACUUUUUAGGGUUUAGAAUUUAGUGUUGAUAGUUUAGGGUUUAGUGUUGAUGGUUUAGGGUUUAGAGUUGAAGUUUAGGGUUUAGAGUUGAUGUUUUAGGGUUUAGAGUUGAAGGUUUAGAGUUUAGGAGUUAGGGUUUAGAAUUGAUGUUUUGGGGUUUAGGGUUUAGAGUUGAUGUUUCAGGGUUUAGGGUUCGUAUUUCAAAAAAAGGGGUUUAUCAUUGAUGGUUUAAGGUUUAGGGUUCGUAUUUCAAGAAAGAAAAGGGUUUAGGAUUGAUGGUUUAGGGUUUAGAGU